CCUACGGGGCGCAGCAGUGGGGGAUAUUGCACAAUGGGGGGAACCCUGAUGCAGCGACGCCGCGUGGGUGAAGAAGCGCCUCGGCGCGUAAAGCCCUGUCAGCCGGGAAGAAAAUGACGGUACCUGAAGAAGAAGCCCCGGCUAACUACGUGCCGGCAGCCGCGGUAAUACGUAGGGGGCAGGCGUUAUCCGGAUUUACUGGGUGUAAUGGGGGCGCAGACGGGGAUGCAAGCCAGGAGAGAAAGCCCGGGGCCCAACCCCGGGACGGCUCUUGGAACGGCGUGGCUGGAGUGGAGGAGGGGCAGGCGGAAGUCCUGGUGUAGCGGUGAAAUGCGUAGAGAGCAGGAGGAACACCGGUGGCGAAGGCGGCCUGCUGGACUGCAACUGACGUUGAGGCCCGAAAGCGUGGGGAGCAAACAGGAGUAGAUACCCUUGUAGUC
rnacentral:rRNA from 1 species